rnacentral:rRNA from 1 species
GCGAACGCUGGCGGCAGGCUUCACACAUGCAAGUCGAGCGCCCCGCACGGGGAGCGGCAGACGGGAGAGUAACACGUGGGAACAUACCUUUUGGUUCGGAACAACUGAGGGAUACUUCAGCUAAUACCGGAUAAGCCCUUACGGGGAAAGAUUUAUCGCCGAAAGAUUGGCCCGCGUCUGAUUAGCUAGUUGGUGAGGUAACGGCUCACCAAGGCGACGAUCAGUAGCUGGUCUGAGAGGAUGAUCAGCCUCACUGGGACUGAGACACGGCCCAGACUCCUACGGGAGGCAGCAGUGGGGAAUAUUGGACAAUGGGGGCAACCCUGAUCCAGCCAUGCCGCGUGAGUGAUGAAGGCCUUAGGGUUGUAAAGCUCUUUUGCCCGGGAAGAUAAUGACGGUACCGGGAGAAUAAGCCCCGGCUAACUUCGUG